rnacentral:rRNA from 1 species
UACGUAGGGGGCAAGCGUUGUCCGGAAUCAUUGGGCGUAAAGAGCGCGUAGGCGGCCAGAUAAGUCCGGUGUGAAAGUCAAAGGCUCAACCUUUGAAUGCCGCUGGAAACUGUCUGGCUAGAGUCCGGAAGAGGAGAAUGGAAUUCCUGGUGUAGCGGUGAAAUGCGCAGAUAUCAGGAAGAACACCCGUGGCGAAGGCGGUUCUCUGGGACGGUACUGACGCUGAGACGCGAAAGCGUGGGGAGCGAACAGG